rnacentral:lncRNA from 1 species
GCUCUAACGCUGUCUGAUGGCCGAGGCCGAGUUUGUGAUCGGCCCUUGUAGUCAACCGUCAUUUUGCAAUGAAGACGAAGAGCGUGCCUGUCCCUGUAGAGGGGUAUUUGUGAUCCUUCUUUUGGAUCUACGGAAAGAGAACUAGGCAGAUUUCACGCAAACCCCAACUGCUGCAGCCCAGAGACCGCAGGUACCCGCUCGCUUUACCAAACCGGAGCCAAGCCUAGUGCUGGCCCGACUGGCACCAAGGACUACUGCUGAUCGUGAGGUGGGGACAAAGGACUCUCUAAACAGACAGAGCAUUGGGAUAAAACUUACUGCUUCGGCCCUCACCACUAAAAUCUUGCUUCUGAUUGUAAGUAUCACUGAAUAUUUUACCUGCCCCCCCACUACAUGUACACACACACACACACACACACACACACACACACACACACACAGCCCUGCAGGGCUGAUAGUGCCCUUUCCCUCCACUGUGAUGCCCCAUCCACACCCAGUCAUUCUUCUGCAGCUGAUGGAGCAGAAGAGUCCCUGAUAUUAAAUAUGAGGUAGGAAAAUUUGUGACUGUAAAGUGGUUGGUAUCUUGAUAUUUCUUGACAAGAUCCUCGAGGUAGGUGAGCUUAACAUGAAAUAUAUUUUCAGUUAGAUAGGCAAGCUGUAAAAUAAGCAGCGAGACGAAAUCUCAAUAAUAAGCAGCAAGACUUUGUCUCAAAUGGGAAAGCCGUCGGUGACAGUUGUUGCAUUUGACUUGCCACCAAAAAUUAAUUUUAUUGACUCAUAAUUAUAUAAAUGGCCACCAAGCCCUUGUUACCACUACUUGUGCCUAGACAUCACCUAAAAUGAAUACUGGAGGGGUGGGAGACAUUUCAGCUCCCUCAUUAAUUCAGUCCUAAAGAGUCUCCAAACAAUGAUACGUGGGAAUUUUAGGAUGGACAUUGUCUGGGCCUCAGGCUGCAAAUUCAUGGGGGGCAGAGUCCAUCAUUUCUCUGCAGAAAGGGGUUGCCUCUCUCUCCCACUCUCCUAGUAGCAUGUAUUUCUCCCUCCCUCUUGCAUAGGUCUGGACGCUACACUGAGCCACAUUACUUACUAAUGUAGUAGAAAAACAUUCAAUGUUUUAGCUAACUUGCCCUCUUAGCCAGUUAAAAGUUGUUCCUGGAGAGGCCUGACAAACGUGGAGGCCAAAACACGUCAAGCACCAGGAAAGCCUGGCCACAAAGAGCAAGGCGGAGGUAAGGUCUGAGGGGUUUUCCCCCUUUCAGUAGUGGAGCUUCUUAAUUUGGCUUACCAUCUCCUAUGAGAACUGCAGUUUUGGCACCUUGGAGAAAUUAUCACGGUUCCAGUAUAGAAAAUCCAAACAUUACCCUACAGCUGGAACAGUUCUCCAGCAAGCUGGAAAAAAAAAAAAAAAAAAAAAAAAAAGGCCUGACUGCACCUGUGAUCUAAGCGCUCCUAUUACUUGACUGCAUCACUCUGCAGCAGCUUGAUCCUCAUGAUGUUAAAGUAAUUCCAGCCACUUGUGGUACGUUGUUGAGCUC